rnacentral:rRNA from 1 species
GAUCAAGAGAGUAAGGGCACACGGUGGAUGCCUUGGCGCCAAGAGCCGAUGAAGGACGUGGGCGGCUGCGAAAAGCCCGGAGUAGGUGCUGACCAACCUUUGAUCCCGGGAUGUCCGAAUGGGGAAACCUGCGCGUGGUAAUGCGCGCGUACCCGUGCCUGAAUACAUAGGGCACGUGGAGGCAAGCCGGUGAACUGAAACAUCUUAGUAACCGGAGGAAAGGAAAGAAACCUCGAUUCCCUGAGUAGUGGCGAGCGAAAAGGGAAGAGCCCAAACCUGCGUAAUGCCAAGACGGCAGUCGUUGUUACGUGGGUGUUGUAGGGCCUGUCUUGAUCCGUCUGCCGGCGGGUCGGGAAGUUACAAAGUCGUGCGUUAGCCGAAGUGACUGGAACGUCACGCCAUAGAGGGCAAUGGUCCCGUAGACGAAAACGACGCGGUCUCCCUUGGCAGGUUCCUGAGUACGGCCGGGCACGGGAAACCCGGUCGGAACCCGCGGGGACCACCCCGUAAGGCUAAGUACUCCUCAGCGACCGAUAGUGAACUAGUACCGUGAGGGAAAGGUGAAAAGUACCCCGGAAGGGGAGUGAAAUAGUACCUGAAACCGUGUGCUUACAAGCGGUCGGAGCGGAGCAAUCCGUGACGGCGUGCCUUUUGCAUAAUGAGCCAGCGAGUUACUCUUCAACGGCAAGGUUAAGGAAACGGAGCCGUAGCGAAAGCGAGUCUGAAUAGGGCGAUUCAGUCGUUGGAGGUAGACCCGAAACUGAGUGAUCUACCCAUGGGCAGGUUGAAGCGGGGGUAAGACCCCGUGGAGGACCGAACCGACUUAGGUUGAAAACUGAGCGGAUGACCUGUGGGUCGGAGUGAAAGGCUAAUCAAACUCAGAGAUAUCUGGUUCUCCCCGAAAUAUAUUUAGGUAUAGCGUCACGCGUUCAAUCGCGGCUGUAGAGCACUGUUUGGGCUAGGGGGCCUACCAGCUUACCGAACUCAGGCAAACUCCGAAUACCGCGAUUCCAGAGCGUGGCAGUCAGACUGCGAGGGAUAAGCUUCGUGGUCGAAAGGGAAACAGCCCAGACCGUCGGCUAAGGCCCCUAAUUCCUGUCUAAGUGGGAAACGAUGUCCGAUUGCAGAGACAACCAGGAUGUUGGCUUAGAAGCAGCCACCAUUCAAAGAGUGCGUAACAGCUCACUGGUCAAGUGGUCGGGCGCGGACAAUGUAACGGGGCUCAAGCAUGGAGCCGAAGCCACGGACUUCACGCGCAAGCGUGGAGUGGUAGGGGAGCGUUCCCAAGCCAGCGAAGCGGCGGCGUAAGCCAGUCGUGGAGGCUUGGGAAGUGAGAAUGCUGGCAUGAGUAACGAAAGAGGAGUGAGAAACUCCUCCGCCGAAUGCCCAAGGGUUCCUGAGUAAAGCUAAUCUGCUCAGGGUUAGUCGGGACCUAAGCCGAGGCCGAAAGGCGUAGGCGAUGGACAACAGGUUGAUAUUCCUGUACCACGUAGCCACCGCUAUCACCAAUGGCGGGACGGGGUAGGCUAGGGGAUCCCAGGCGAUGGUCGUCCUGGGGUAACCGCGUAGGGCGACCGGUAGGGAAAUCCGCCGGUCAUCAAGCCUGAGACGGGAUGCCGAGGGCUGUAAAGCCCGAAGUCCUUGAAGCCAUGCCUCCUAGAAAAGCGUCUAGGGAGGUGGCGCGUGCCCGUACCAAAACCGACACAGGUGGGCAGGUAGAGAAUACCAAGGCGAUCGGAAGAACCCUCGUUAAGGAACUCGGCAAAAUGGUCCCGUAACUUCGGGAGAAGGGACGCCCCGGUAGAGUGAAGCCCUUUACGGGUGGAGCUCGAGGGGGCCGCAGUGAAACGGCCCAAGCGACUGUUUACCAAAAACACAGGUCUCUGCGAAGUCGUAAGACGACGUAUAGGGGCUGACGCCUGCCCGGUGCCGGAAG